AGUGAACGCUGGCGGUAGGCCUAACACAUGCAAGUCGAACGGCAGCACAGUAAGAGCUUGCUCUUACGGGUGGCGAGUGGCGGACGGGUGAGGAAUACAUCGGAAUCUACUUUUUCGUGGGGGAUAACGUAGGGAAACUUACGCUAAUACCGCAUACGACCUACGGGUGAAAGCAGGGGAUCUUCGGACCUUGCGCGAUUGAAUGAGCCGAUGUCGGAUUAGCUGGUUGGCGGGGUAAAGGCCAACCAAGGCGACGAUCCGUAGCUGGUCUGAGAGGAUGAUCAGCCACACGGGAACUGAGACACGGUCCAGACUCCUACGGGAGGCAGCAGUGGGGAAUAUUGGACAAUGGGCGCAAGCCUGAUCCAGCCAUACCGCGUGGGUGAAGAAGGCCUUCGGGUUGUAAAGCCCUUUUGUUGGGAAAGAAAAGCAGCAGGUUAAUACCCCGCUGUUCUGACGGUACCCAAAGAAUAAGCACCGGCUAACUUCGUG
rnacentral:rRNA from 1 species